UUCUAUCAUCUUUCUAUCUCUUUUAUUUGCCUAUUUAGUGUACACAUUUAGGAUUCUAGAGUCUAUAAAAAACCUCUAUUGAUUUCCUAAAUUCUUUGCAAUGAUCCUCAUAUAGUUUUUAUGAAAGUCUAGCUGGAAUGGCUGGUAAUUGAAGAGAAAGAGGUCUUAUAAGCCGAUGUUCCAUGGUUUAUAAUUUGACGAAACCCCCAUCUCUUCUGACCAUGAU
rnacentral:lncRNA from 1 species